rnacentral:lncRNA from 1 species
UGCGCAGGAACGAGAAAGCACGGCACUUUGGCACAGCUGCACUUGCUUGGACAGGAAUUGCACUCGACCAAGCCUCCUAGCACCAUUCACAGAGAAGAAAAUAAAUUCACCACCGUGACUAGCGAUCAAGUGGAAGAAGUAAAUUUAUUCUUCAUUUCAAGGAUUAACCAAAGAUUGUUUCUGGUAUUUCACGGAUGCAAGAUUGACCAAUCAAAUUUCGAUGACACAAAAGCAAGCACGAACUGACUUGAUUAAAAGCCUGGUGCUUCCACUGGUGCUACACUGGAUGAAAAAAAUGCAGCAGAAAUCGAACGCAAAACACACAACGCAAGGAGGAGGUGCGUCAGGCCUGCAGAAAUCAAACAACGCAGAUCAGGACUGCCUGGCGAGCGUCAAAUCAAUGCUGGAAUCACAAGGCACAUGCUGCGCUUGGCUCUGAAGGCAAUCUAUGCACCUGCAAUCGAUUGGAGACAGGCACCAGGCCUUCUCUGAAAAGUAAGGAAAUUAGGCCUUGUUUAGUUCUGAAAGGUGAAAUUUUUUCGGUACCGUAGCAUUUUCGUUUGUUUGUGACAAAUAUUAUUCAAUCAUGGACUAACUAGGAUCAAAAGAUUCAUCUCGUGAUUUACAGCUAAACUGUGUAAUUAGUUUUUGUUUUCAUCUAUAUUUAAUAUUUCAUACAUGUGCCACAAGAUUUGAUGUGACGGGGAAUCUUGAAAACUUUUUGGUUUUCAGGGUGAACUAAACAAGGCCUUAGAGAGAAGGAACCCCACGACACAGGAAAAAGGCUCUACUUCACACGGAUUAAGCAAGCCGGCAUGCUGAAAAUCAGACGGACGAGCAACUGCGUCAAGGGCGAGCACUGAUCUCAGAAGAGAACGCACGGUGCUUGCACCGGCGCUGGUAGCGCCUCUGCUAAAAUCAUCGACAAGCGACGAACGAGCAGGACCAGUAACGGGCGGACGAACAGAAAGCUAGCAGCCACAAAAUCAGCAAGAACUUGACCAAACCUUCAUGAAUUGCUCCCAAAUUUUGGUUAAAUGAAACUCACCUAGGCACGAAACUAUUCUCCCAAAAUCAUCGCCUGAGAUUGACCAGACUCCGAGAAAUUCAGAUCGUAGCUAAGAACAAAAAAGGGGAAAACCAAAGAACUUAGUGAAUAAAAUCACAGACACAAUAGAUGAAUCCUGCAGGAUAAUUGGAGGAUUCGGGCCUCCAUUCCCAACUCGAAAUUUUCAGUAGCUUACACAAACAUCAAAUUUGUGGACCUCUCAAGAGAAAAAUAAAGGGAGAAAG